rnacentral:misc_RNA from 1 species
UCCGAGUUGACCCCGGCAGUCUCCUGCGAGUCCCCGCCAUUACGCGCUGGCAACACAGGACAAGGGUUGCGCUCGUUGCGGGACUUAACCCAACAUCUCACGACACGAGCUGACGACAGCCAUGCACCACCUGUAUACCGACCACAAGGGGGGCCGUAUCUCUACGGCUUUCCGGUAUAUGUCAAACCCAGGUAAGGUGGGGAUGACGUAUCUUACAGCGUAC